CUCCGCUGCUCGCAAAUUCCACCGGGUCCGUUACUGGGCUCGGACUUCGAAGUUAACGCACGCCCGCCCGGCCGCAAACCGGGGCCUGAGGCCGCCCCCGCCCGCGGCGCCCCGCGCUGACCCCGCCGGCCGGAGGGGGCCGGGCUCACUUUGCAACUUUGUGCGGCGCCGGCCGCAGUGCCAGCUCGGUGGUAUCGUAUGCAAAUACGCAUGCUGACGUUACAGAUCAUGUGGGUUUUGGCGUAGAUUCCCCACUGAUCGGCAUUUUCCCCUCUUUUUCUUUCUUUUUUCUCUUUUUGCUUUUUCUUUUUAAAUUUUGGCCGCCGUCCUCGGAGCGGGCCUCUCUGCCCGAGCCCGGCACGCUGGCUGUCCCUCCGUUUCCCACGGAGCCCCGCGGGCGCCGGCCGGGGAGCGGGCCGAGGGUGGGGGAGCCAGCAGAGUUCCAUUUUGGAAGCCCGCGCUCGUCUCCGCGCGCCCAGCCCGGGUCCCCGCGUCCGCGCGCCCCCAGCCCCGGCGCCGCAGGUCCCGAAGCCCUGGCUGCUCCCAGAGUGCAUCUGUCAGAAGAUUCCCAGGAUGUGAGCCACACAAGUGUGGGUGAGGCGCAGAGCACGUUCUCCAAGAGACAUGCGAGUCGCGCUGCCCAAAUCCGGAACACCGCUGGCUGGGAGGCCAGAGCAUUCAGAGGGUGUUUCCUGCCAUUCCUUAGGACCUCAGCGGGCCGCUCCUAUCUCCUGUUUUUCAGUCACCAGAUUGAUUUCCCUCACCCCUCCGCAAG
rnacentral:lncRNA from 1 species